AUGAACGCUAGCUACAGGCUUAACACAUGCAAGUCGAGGGGCAUCAGGAAGAAAGCUUGCUUUCUUUGCUGGCGACCGGCGCACGGGUGAGUAACACGUAUCCAACCUGCCCUUUACUCGGGGAUAGCCUUUCGAAAGAAAGAUUAAUACCCGAUGGCAUAAUGAUUCCGCAUGGUUUCAUUAUUAAAGGAUUCCGGUAAAGGAUGGGGUUGCGUUCCAUUAGGUUGUUGGUGAGGUAACGGCUCACCAAGCCUUCGAUGGAUAGGGGUUCUGAGAGGAAGGUCCCCCACAUUGGAACUGAGACACGGUCCAAACUCCUACGGGAGGCAGCAGUGAGGAAUAUUGGUCAAUGGGCGGUAGCCUGAACCAGCCAAGUAGCGUGAAGGAUGAAGGCUCUAUGGGUCGUAAACUUCUUUUAUAUAAGAAUAAAGUGCAGUAUGUAUACUGUUUUGUAUGUAUUAUAUGAAUAAGGAUCGGCUAACUCCGUGCCAGCAGCCGCGGUAAUACGGAGGAUCCGAGCGUUAUCCGGAUUUAUUGGGUUUAAAGGGAGCGUAGGUGGACUGGUAAGUCAGUUGUGAAAGUUUGCGGCUCAACCGUAAAAUUGCAGUUGAUACUGUCAGUCUUGAGUACAGUAGAGGUGGGCGGAAUUCGUGGUGUAGCGGUGAAAUGCUUAGAUAUCACGAAGAACUCCGAUUGCGAAGGCAGCUCACUGGACUGCAACUGACACUGAUGCUCGAAAGUGUGGGUAUCAAACAGGAUUAGAUACCCUGGUAGUCCACACAGUAAACGAUGAAUACUCGCUGUUUGCGAUAUACAGUAAGCGGCCAAGCGAAAGCAUUAAGUAUUCCACCUGGGGAGUACGCCGGCAACGGUGAAACUCAAAGGAAUUGACGGGGGCCCGCACAAGCGGAGGAACAUGUGGUUUAAUUCGAUGAUACGCGAGGAACCUUACCCGGGCUUAAAUUGCAGUGGAAUGAUGUGGAAACAUGUCAGUGAGCAAUCACCGCUGUGAAGGUGCUGCAUGGUUGUCGUCAGCUCGUGCCGUGAGGUGUCGGCUUAAGUGCCAUAACGAGCGCAACCCUUAUCUUCAGUUACUAACAGGUUAUGCUGAGGACUCUGGAGAGACUGCCGUCGUAAGAUGUGAGGAAGGUGGGGAUGACGUCAAAUCAGCACGGCCCUUACGUCCGGGGCUACACACGUGUUACAAUGGGGGGUACAGAAGGCAGCUAGCGGGUGACCGUAUGCUAAUCCCAAAAUCCUCUCUCAGUUCGGAUCGAAGUCUGCAACCCGACUUCGUGAAGCUGGAUUCGCUAGUAAUCGCGCAUCAGCCACGGCGCGGUGAAUACGUUCCCGGGCCUUGUACACACCGCCCGUCAAGCCAUGGGAGCCGGGGGUACCUGAAGUACGUAACCGCAAGGAUCGUCCUAGGGUAAAACUGGUGACUGGGGCU
rnacentral:rRNA from 1 species